UACGUCCCAUUUUUACCCACAUGCUCCCAUUCCUGAACCGAUAGCAAAGAUAAGUGGAUUUCACCGCUGGUUUGUGGGUAUGAAUGUGCUUUUUGGUGAACCAGUGGACAACAAGAUAUCCAGAAACACUGUACAAUCAUACUUCAAGAUGGUCAGAACUGACCUAGGCAUACCCCAUUAAAAAGCCUGAAGAAGACUUCAAAUGGGAAGCUAAGUGUCCAUGCCCCUGGGCUCAAAUCAGCAUAUUUGCCUUCCGAACUUGAUAUUAGCUCUUUUUUUAGUGAUUUGUGGCCUGGGUUUUCACUACACAUAAUCAUAGGCAUCUAUGGGAUGGCAAGGAGAGGCAAAUGAUCAAACGGAUAUC